GUUCCUUUAAGGUUUGGUUCCAUAAGAUCCUUAAAAAAAUAUUCAACUAGGGUUUGAUAUCUCUUUUCGGUGUUGCUAUAUACUUCUCUAGGUCUCACCCAAAACCUAGAUUGGUUACUCUAGAACCCUGCUGCUAUUACCAGAUGUCAAACAUUCUAAGUCACAUUUCAAAGUCCUCAGUAUCACCAACAGGUACCUUUUGUGUAAUGCAAAACUGGUGUAGGAAUCAUUUAGAAUUAACAUUUGGCUAUGUCCAUACCACUGUAUGGGGCCAUGGCACAAUCACCCUGGGCAAUGAUAUUAAGAAAUGCACGAAUGAGCUAAGGAGACAAAAGAAUAGCAUGUCUGUUCUACUGGAAG